rnacentral:rRNA from 1 species
AUUGAACGCUGGCGGCAGGCCUAACACAUGCAAGUCGAACGGUAACAGGAAGCAGCUUGCUGCUUUGCUGACGAGUGGCGGACGGGUGAGUAAUGUCUGGGAAACUGCCUGAUGGAGGGGGAUAACUACUGGAAACGGUAGCUAAUACCGCAUAACGUCGCAAGACCAAAGAGGGGGACCUUCGGGCCUCUUGCCAUCGGAUGUGCCCAGAUGGGAUUAGCUAGUAGGUGGGGUAACGCCUCACCUAGGCGACGAUCCCUAGCUGGUCUGAGAGGAUGACCAGCCCACCGGGAACUGAGAACCGGCCCAGACCCCAACGGGGGGCAGAGGGGGGGAAUAUUGCAAAAGGGGCGAAAGCCUGAUGCAGCCAUGCCGGGUGUAUGAAGAAGGCCUUCGGUUUUUAAAGUCUUUUCAGCGGGGAGGAAGGGAGUAAAUUUAAUACCUUUCCUCAUGGACUUUACCCGCAGAAGAAGCCCCGGCUAACCCCGU